rnacentral:rRNA from 1 species
UACGAGGGGGGCAAGCGUUGUUCGGAAUUAUUGGGCGUAAAGGGCGCGUAGGCGGUUUGACAAGUCUGAUGUGGAAUCUAUGGGCUCAACCCAUAGCCUGCAUUAGAAACUGUCGGGCUUGAGUAUGGGAGAGGUGAGUGGAAUUUCCGGUGUAGCGGUGAAAUGCGUAGAUAUCGGAAGGAACACCUGUGGCGAAAGCGGCUCACUGGACCAUAACUGACGCUGAGGCGCGAAAGCUAGGGGAGCAAACAGG